UACAGAGGGGGCAAGCGUUGUUCGGAAUUACUGGGCGUAAAGGGCGCGUAGGCGGCCUUCUAAGUCGAACGUGAAAUCCCCGGGCUCAACCCGGGAACUGCGUCCGAGACUGAAAGGCUUGAAUCCGGGAGAGGGAUGUGGAAUUCCAGGUGUAGCGGUGAAAUGCGUAGAUAUCUGGAGGAACAUCGGUGGCGAAGGCGGCAUCCUGGACCGGUAUUGACGCUGAGGCGCGAAAGCGUGGGGAGCGAACAGG
rnacentral:rRNA from 1 species